UGUCUCAGUACUUGCUUUUACAAGGCGAAACCGCGAAUGGCUCAUUAAAUCAGUUAUGGUUCACUAGAUCGUACAGUUUACAUGGAUAACUGUGGUAAUUCUAGAGCUAAUACAUGCACCCAGUCCGUUCCCUCGUGGAGCGGAUGCAGUUAUUUGCCCAAAACCAAUCCGGCCUUCGGGUCGGUCAAUUGGUGACUCUGAAUAACCGAAGCGGAGCGCAUGGUCUCGUACCGGCGCCAGAUCUUUCAAGUGUCUGACUUAUCAGCUUGUUGUUAGGUUAUGUUCCUAACAAGGCAUCAACGGGUAACGGAGUGUCAGGGCCCGACACCGGAGAGGGAGCCUGAGAAACGGCUACCACAUCCAAGGAAGGCAGCAGGCGCGCAAAUUACCCACUCCCGGCACGGGGAGGUAGUGACGAAAAAUAACGAUGCGAGAGCUUUAUGCUCCUCGUAAUCGGAAUGGGUACACUUUAAAUCCUUUAACGAGGAUCUAUUGGAGGGCAAGUCUGGUGCCAGCAGCCGCGGUAAUUCCAGCUCCAAUAGCGUAUAUUAAAGUUGCUGCGGUUAAAAAGCUCGUAGUUGGAUCUGGGUAGUCGAUGGACGGUGCGCUUUACGGCGUCUACUGUUCGUUCGGCACCACAUGCCGGCCAUGUCUUGCAUGCUCUUCACUGAGUGUGCUUGGCGACCGGAACGUUUACUUUGAAAAAAUUAGAGUGCUCAAAGCAGGCGUUAAGCCUUGCAUAAUGGUGCAUGGAAUAAUAGAAUAGGACCUCGGUUCUAUUUUGUUGGUUUUCGGAGCUCGAGGUAAUGAUUAAUAGGAACAGACGGGGGCAUUCGUAUUGCGGCGUUAGAGGUGAAAUUCUUGGAUCGUCGCAAGACGC
rnacentral:rRNA from 1 species